AUUGAACGCUGGCGGCAGGCCUAACACAUGCAAGUCGAACGCGUGGCGGACGUGUGAGUAAUGUCUGGGAAUCUGCCUGAUGGAGGGGGAUAACUACUGGAAACGGUAUCUAAUACCGCAUACCAUCGGAUGUGCCCAGAUGGGCUUAGCUUGUAGGUGGGGUAAAGGCUCACCUAGGCGACUAUCCCUAGCUGGUCUGAGAGGAUGACCAGCCACACUGGAACGGAGACACGGUACAGACUCCUACGUGAGGAAGCAGUGGGGAAUAUUGCACAAGGGGCGCAAGCCUGAUGCAGCCAUGCCGCGUGUAUGAAGAAGGCCGUCGGGUUGUAAAGUACUUUCAGCGGGGAGGCGUUACCCGCAGAAGAAGCACCGGCUAACUCCGUGCCAGCAGCCGCGGUAAUAC
rnacentral:rRNA from 1 species